GGGUGACGAACUUCCGGAUUAGCGGCGAACGGGUGAGUAACGCGUGAGGAACCUGCCUCUCACAACGGGAUAGCCUCGGGAAACCGGGAUUAAUACCGUAUGACACUAUCAGAUGGCAUCAUCAGAUAGUUAAAGUGCUAGCGGUGAGAGAUGGCCUCGCGUCUGAUUAGUUAGUUGGUGGGGUAACGGCCUACCAAGACGACGAUCAGUAACCGGCCUGAGAGGGUGAACGGUCACAUUGGAACUGAGACACGGUCCAAACUCCUACGGGAGGCAGCAGUGGGGAAUCUUGCACAAUGGGGGAAACCCUGAUGCAGCGACGCCGCGUGAGCGAUGAAGGUUUUCGAAUCGUAAAGCUCUGUCCUAUGGGAAGAUAAUGACGGU
rnacentral:rRNA from 1 species